AAUUUAUUUGGGUUUCAAAUAGGACGUCGGCCCUCGAAGACUUGAGUUUGACAGCCCUACUGUAGAGCAUCUGGCAUGGCAGCAAAAAGCCAUCCUCAGCCUGCAGCUGCCAGAGUGGGAACCGCUGCCUCCUACAGGUUAAACACAGCUGCUUGUUCCUUGUCAGACGCUUUUUCCCUGCAACAGAAGCUGUUCCAUACUCCACUGGAUGCUGAUGAAGCAUCAGCAACUCCACUAGACAUCACCCACGUGCCCACAGCACAGGAGCAGCAAGCCCACAAGUUAUACAGAGCACAGAUGAGGAGAAAGCUGAAAGCAAGGGGUACAUUCUCUAAAGCAGUGGUAGUUGGUACUGGACUGCAGAGAAGAAAAAAAAAAA